GACGAACGCUGGCGGCGUGCUUAACACAUGCAAGUCGAGCGGUAAGGCCUCUUCGGGGGUCCACGAGCGGCGAACGGGCGCGUAACACGUGGGUGACCUGCCCUCAGUACCGGGAUAAGCCUGGGACACUGGGCCUAAUACCGGGAAUGACCUUUCCUCGCACGGGGGUUGGUGGAAAGUUUUUUUGGCUGGGGAUGGGGCCGCGGCCUAUCUGCUUGUUGGUGGGGUGAUGGCCUACCAAGGCGAGGACGGGUAGCCGGCCUGGGAGGGCGACCGGCCACACGGGGACUGGGGCACGGCCCAGACUCCUUCGGGGAGGAGGAGGGGGGGAAAUUGCGCAAUGGGCGGAAACCUGACGCAGCGACGCCGCGUGGAGGAAUGCGGCCUUCGGGUUGGAAACCUCUUUCGACCCCGACGAAUUUUGACGGUAGGGGAAGAAGAAGCACCGGCCAACUACGUG
rnacentral:rRNA from 1 species